rnacentral:rRNA from 1 species
GACGAACGCUGGCGGCGUGCUUAACACAUGCAAGUCGAACGGAAAGGCCCUGCUUGCCGGGUACUCGAGUGGCGAACGGGUGAGUAACACGUGGGUGAUCUGCCCUGCACUUCGGGAUAAGCUUGGGAAACUGGGUCUAAUACCGGAUAGGAACCAUCUUUAGUGUGGUGGUUGGAAAGUUUUUUCGGUGUAGGAUGAGCUCGCGGCCUAUCAGCUUGUUGGUGGGGUAAUGGCCUACCAAGGCGGCGACGGGUAGCAGGCCUGAGAGGGUGUACGGCCACAUUGGGACUGAGAUACGGCCCAGACUCCGACGGGAGGCAGCAGUGGGGAAUAUUGCACAAUGGGCGCAAGCCUGAUGCAGCGACGCCGCGUGGGGGAUGAAGGCCUUCGGGUUGUAAACUCCUUUCGCUAGGGACGAAGCUUUGUUGUGACGGUACCUAGAGAAGAAGCACCGGCUAACUACGUG